UAUAUAUAUAUUUGUGAGUAUAUAACUAGCUAAAGAGUAAUGGUGUCAAUUUCUGGGAUUUUAUGUGACUUGUAUCAUAAAUGGAGGGGACUAGAAACUUGUGUGGUCAAAUAAGUGUGUUGCAUGCAGCUUUUAGUCUAGUUAACAAAACAGAUCUAUAAAUUUCAUAAUUAAACUUUUGCAUUUAAUAUUUGUUAUGUUGACAUAUAUUUUUGUGUAUCUUAUCCAUUGUAGAAUUAUAUACAGCAGGUGAGCUAUGGAUAGAAAUUGGAUACAUAAUCUCGAUAGAACUAGCGUUGAAUAUUUGUCAGGUAUUGAGGAAUUGAUUAGAGUUGCAAGCAACCAAGUCAAUCAUUGAGGUCAUUCCAAGUGCCCUUACCAAAAGUGUAAUAAUUGCUCUUGGAGGCCAGUGAGUGAAAUACGACAAUACUUGAUCAUGCAUGGGAUGUCAUACAAUUACACUACACGGAAUCGUCAUGGAGAACGAUUGGGGACUGCGUCAGGUUCCUCUACGAAUAACUUGUUAUGCAACCCAAGACUGGCUGAUGACAUUGAUUGUGAUAAUGAUCAAGUAAUGCAAAUAAUCAAUAAUCUGUAUUCAUAUGCCUCGCACCAUCAUGAGCAAAAUGUUUUAGAGGAAGAUGAAGUAUUACUUGAGGAUGAUACAUUGGGAAAUAAUUAGACGUCGAAGAUGCAUAGGGAAGAGAUGGAUAAGUACGAAAGGUUGCUAAAAGAAGCACAAAAAGAACUUUACCCUGGUUGUAAAGAUUUCUCUACGUUGACAUCUAUUAUAGAGUUGAUGCAACUAGAAGUGAGGAAUUUGAUGACCAACAAAUGCUUUGAUGAGCUUAUGAGCAUCUUGAAAAGGAUGCUUCUGAACGAAAAUCAAUUACCUUCUACUCAUCGGCAUGCCCAUAAAAUUUUAAAAGAUCUCGGACUGGGCUAGGAAAAAAUCCAUGCAUGUAAAUAUGAUUGUGCACUAUUUUACAAGGAAAAUGAAGGGUUAGAUAAGUGCCCCAUUUGUAAUGAGCUAAUAUAUCAGAAUAGUUCUGAAGAUAAGAAUAAGAUUCCUCAAAAAGUAUUGAGUUAUUUUCCAAUAAAGCCAAGAUUACAGCGACUAUACAUGUUAAUGCAUACUGCCAAUGAUAUGAAAUGGCACAAGAAUGGGCGAGUUGAUGAUGGAGACAUGAGGCAUCCAGCACACACAAUUGCAUGGAAGGAAUUUGAUAAGAUGUAUCCUAAUUUUGCAGCAGAGUCACGAAACAUAAGAUUGGGCCUUGCAACUGAUGGUUUUAACCCAUUUGGGGAUAUGAACAAACCUUAUAGCAUGUGGCUUGUGGUGGUUGUUCCUUAUAACUUGCCUCCAUGGAUGUGCAUGAAAAAAGAAUUAACCAUGCUAACCUUAUUAAUUCCUGGUAGACAUGAACCUGGCAAGGACAUUGAUGUUUAUUUGCACCCUCUAAUCAAUGAAUUGAACGAAUUAUGGGAAAUUGGUGUGCGUACAUAUGAUAAAAGCACUGAUUCCAUGUUUAACUUACGUGUUGCUGCGUUGUGGACUAUUAAUGAUUUACUUGCUUAUGGAAAUUUAUCAGGUUGGAGUACGAAGGGUUAUAAUGCUUGCCCUGUUUGUAAUGAUGAUGGAACAUCUGAAUGGUUUAGUGACAUGGUUUGCUAUAUGAGGCAUCGACGAUGGUUGCCAUGGGAUCAUGUGUGGCGCAAGAGAAGGGAUUCCUUUGAUGGGAAAUCCGAAUUUCGUGCAAGACCUAGAAUUGCUUGGCAAGAAUGACAAAAAAUUAAAUUAUGUAGAAUUCACUAGUGAAACAUGGGCACCAAGAAAGCUUGUUGUGGUUUGUAGGCACAUGUAGAGUUAUCUAGAAAAAAUCAUAUGUAAGCUAUGAUCUAUAAAUAGGGCAUGAGUCUCUCAUUUGUAAGCAAGCAAAAGUCAUUGUCAUUUUAAUAAAGUUCCUUUUUCUUAUCCACUUUGUCUACUAACUUACUUUCUAUCAAAAUCUUCCAUACUACUAACUUCCAACAAAAAGCCAAUUACUUUCUACCUCCAAAAUUAUUCCAUACAAAACAUAUUAAACCAUCUAAUAUAAUCUCAUCACUACAAGAAAAACUAUCAAAAACCGAUAACGAUAGAAGAAGAACUAGGCUUGUGCUCAAUGUCGAGAGUUUGCAACUCUACGAAAAUUUUGUUUUGAUUUUUGAUUUGUUUAAAUGUCAAAACCCUAUAUAUUGUUGUAAAUUAUUCAUGAAUUCGCGUGAUUAGGGAUAAUUUGAUGUUUUUUGCCUGAAUUUUCUAUUUUAAGUUGUAAUAAUUUUCUAUUUUAAGUUGUAAUCAUGGGCUGAACUUAGUUUGGCUAAUUUUGACACAAAUUUUAAAUAAAUGUGUACAAAUUUUUGCGUUUAAGCGUGUGUAGUGGUCAACAAAAUGGGUUAGCCACAUUAUCAUGUGCAUACUACAUAUGUGAUGUAUUUUGAAAAUGCACCAUGCAUAUGAGGGCAUAUGCAAAGCACAUGCGCAUAUUUUAGAACACUGAUUUUGUUAGAUGAAGGAUGAAAACAAUCAAAUCAUUUUCUAACGUUAAUUCACCAGUUGAUAAAUUUACAACAGUUGUAUCAAAAUGGUUUUUACCCUUUUAUCUUAGCUAUAAGGAAGGUUGAAAUAUGGAGAAUUACAUGUAACUUAAACAUAGUCUAAUCCAAGGAGGGAGCAGAAAAUGUGCACAUCAGUUGGAAAUUACUAAUGCCCGGUUGGAGGAAUAUUGCAAGUCACCCCAGUAAAUGUGCAUAGGUUAGGAUCUUCAUGCACAAAGAUGGCCUUGGAAGAUGGAUAACAAUGAAAAAUAAUGACCAGUUCAGAUUUGAUCCAAGCUUAAUAGCAACCUCGACUCCUGCACAUAAUGAUUUAGCAGAGCAACUUCAACAAUGUGAUGAUCUUUGUGACUUAAUGCAUGCUUUUAUGUUUGCAACUUAAUUAGAGAUGUGUAAGUUUAUAUAUGAAUAUAGGAUCGAGGCUAUUGAUUAUUAUUGGAUCAUUCUUUCGAAUAAGGCAAAAAUCGACAAGAACUGGUAAUUGAUAAAUCGUUCAUAUAUCACAAAGGUAGUCAUAAUCCUAGUACUAUACCUCAUUGAAUGUUACUCUAAAAAUAUUCGUGCAUGCUCAACUUAGCUAAAUUAGUUAGUAAUUUGAAAAUCAAUCUUCGAA
rnacentral:lncRNA from 1 species